GGCUGAUCAGGCAGAACAUGAUUUUUUCAUCUGUACACUGAUUUUAACUCCUUGGGCUUCAGAAGAAUUACUCUUGGUUUAUUCUGGUGAGAGCUGGAGAGGCAGCUGAUUUUCUACCCUAGGAUUAAUCUCUAGUCCUUCAAUUCGUGAUUGCAGCAUUUUCCUUCAACAGUUGUAAGAUAGUCCUACAUUUCAGAACUGUAUUUCAGUUAUCUUGUAGCUGGAUUCCACUAUCUUCUGCUUUCUUCCCUUUGAAAUGGAAUGUUGAAAAAACUAGUUUUGAGAACACCUUUCCAAUGUCAAAGAUUAGAUUUUCUCCCCAGCACAAAGGACUUUGUUCCAUGGCUGCAGUACUAGUGGAGCUGCUGCUGUACAAAGCAAAUAGCAUUGGGUGAGAAGCUGCACCAAACACUCACGGGGGUAACGUUUGUGCCGUGCUGACAGACGUCUUGGAGACCACCAUCUGCUCAAGCCAUGUGUCACCCACGGCACCCAGCAAUG